AUGGGUCAGCGACUUAUAUUCUGUAGCAAGGUUAACCGAAUAGGGGAGCCGGAGGGAAACCGAGUCUUAACCGGGCGUUAAGUUGCAGGGUAUAGACCCGAAACCCGGUGAUCUAGCCAUGGGCAGGUUGAAGGUUGGGUAACACUAACUGGAGGACCGAACCGACUAAUGUUGAAAAAUUAGCGGAUGACCUGUGGCUGGGGGUGAAAGGCCAAUCAAACCGGGAGAUAGCUGGUUCUCCCCGAAAGCUAUUUAGGUAGCGCCUCGUGAAUUCAUCUCCGGGGGUAGAGCACUGUUUCGGCUAGGGGGCCAUCCCGGCUUACCAACCCGAUGCAAACUGCGAAUACCGGAGAAUGUUAUCACGGGAGACACACGGCGGGUGCUAACGUCCGUCGUGAAGAGGGAAACAACCCAGACCGCCAGCUAAGGUCCCAAAGUCAUGGUUAAGUGGGAAACGAUGUGGGAAGGCCCAGACAGCCAGGAUGUUGGCUUAGAAGCAGCCAUCAUUUAAAGAAAGCGUAAUAGCUCACUGGUCGAGUCGGCCUGCGCGGAAGAUGUAACGGGGCUAAACCAUGCACCGAAGCUGCGGCAGCGACACUGUGUGU
rnacentral:rRNA from 1 species